rnacentral:rRNA from 1 species
AUACGGAGGGUCCAAGCGUUAUCCGGAAUCAUUGGGUUUAAAGGGUCCGCAGGCGGUCAAUUAAGUCAGAGGUGAAAGCCCAUCGCUCAACGAUGGAACUGCCUUUGAUACUGGUUGACUUGAGUUAUACGGAAGUAGAUAGAAUAAGUAGUGUAGCGGUGAAAUGCAUAGAUAUUACUCAGAAUACCGAUUGCGAAGGCAGUCUACUACGUAUAUACUGACGCUGAGGGACGAAAGCGUGGGGAGCGAACAGGAUUAGAUACCCUAGUAGUCC